rnacentral:tRNA from 1 species
GUCCUCGUAGUUCAAUGGAUAGAAUAACUCCCUCCUAAGGAGUAGAUGUAGGUUCGAUUCCUGCUGGGGAUACCA